rnacentral:rRNA from 1 species
CCUACGGGAGGCAGCAGUGGGGAAUUUUGGACAAUGGGCGCAAGCCUGAUCCAGCAAUGCCGCGUGCAGGAUGAAGGCCUUCGGGUUGUAAACUGCUUUUGUACGGAACGAAACGGUUCGCUUUAAUAAAGUGGGCUAAUGACGGUACCGUAAGAAUAAGCACCGGCUAACUACGUGCCAGCAGCCGCGGUAAUACGUAGGGUGCGAGCGUUAAUCGGAAUUACUGGGCGUAAAGCGUGCGCAGGCGGUGAUGUAAGACAGAUGUGAAAUCCCCGGGCUCAACCUGGGACCUGCAUUUGUGACUGCAUCGCUAGAGUACGGUAGAGGGGGAUGGAAUUCCGCGUGUAGCAGUGAAAUGCGUAGAUAUGCGGAGGAACACCGAUGGCGAAGGCAAUCCCCUGGACCUGUACUGACGCUCAUGCACGAAAGCGUGGGGAGCAAACAGGAUUAGAUACCCUGGUAGUCCACGCCCUAAACGAUGUCAACUGGUUGUUGGGUCUUCACUGACUCAGUAACGAAGCUAACGCGUGAAGUUGACCGCCUGGGGAAGUACGGCCGCAAGGUUGAAACUUCAAAUUGAAUUGACCGGNNGAGAGNGCGAGACGACGACGAGGAGGAGG